rnacentral:rRNA from 1 species
AACGAACGCUGGCGGCGUGGCUAAAACAUGCAAGUCGAGCGAGAAAGUUCCCUUCGGGGAGCGAGUACAGCGGCGGAAGGGUGAGGAAUACAUGGGUAACGUGCCCCUGGCUCCGGGAUAGCUGCGGGAAACUGCAGGUAAUACCGGAUGAGACCACGGUGUCAUAAGACACAGUGCUCAAAGGUGGGGAUCCCUUCGGGGACCUAUUGGCCAAGGAGCGGCCCAUGGCCUAUCAGCUUGUUGGUGAGGUAAUGGCUCACCAAGGCAUCGACGGGUACCGGGACUGAGAGGUUGGCCCGGCACAUUGGGACUGAGACACUGCCCAGACUCCUACGGGUGGCA